GGGGUGCAGCAGGCGCGAAACCUCCGCAAUGUGAGAAAUCGCGACGGGGGGAUCCCAAGUGCCAUUCUUAACGGGAUGGCUUUUCUUUAGUGUAAAAAGCUUUUGGAAUAAGAGCUGGGCAAGACCGGUGCCAGCCGCCGCGGUAAUUCAAGGGC
rnacentral:rRNA from 1 species